rnacentral:rRNA from 1 species
AUGGAGGCGUGCCUUAGCCUGGAGCCCAGCAAGAAGAUCGUCGGGAGCUUUGGGACAUUUGAGACGGCCGUUCUCCAUGUGGCCAACGCCAGCCAGCUGCAGGCAUUGCGCCGGCCUCGGCAGGAGUCGGUCAAGCCCAAUGGCCAACUUGCAUUUUCACGUCAAGCAUGGCUGAUUAUCAGAGGGCAAGGAAAGAUGGAGUAG